rnacentral:rRNA from 1 species
UACGGAGGGGGCUAGCGUUGUUCGGAAUUACUGGGCGUAAAGCGCGCGUAGGCGGACCUGCAAGUCGGGGGUGAAAGCCCGAGGCUCAACCUCGGAACUGCCUUCGAUACUGCGGGUCUCGAGUCCGGGAGAGGUGAGUGGAAUUCCGUAGUGUAGAGGUGAAAUUCGUAGAUAUUAGGAAGAACACCGAGUGGCGAAGGGCGCUCACGUGGCCCGGUAC